rnacentral:rRNA from 1 species
GGUUAAGCGACUAAGCGUACACGGUGGAUGCCCUGGCAGUCAGAGGCGAUGAAGGACGUGCUAAUCUGCGAUAAGCGUCGGUAAGGUGAUAUGAACCGUUAUAACCGGCGAUUUCCGAAUGGGGAAACCCAGUGUGAUUCGUCACACUAUCAUUAACUGAAUCCAUAGGUUAAUGAGGCGAACCGGGGGAACUGAAACAUCUAAGUACCCCGAGGAAAAGAAAUCAACCGAGAUUCCCCCAGUAGCGGCGAGCGAACGGGGAGCAGCCCAGAGCCUGAAUCAGUGUGUGUGUUAGUGGAAGCGUCUGGAAAGGCGUGCGAUACAGGGUGACAGCCCCGUACACAAAAAUGCACAUGCUGUGAGCUCGAUGAGUAGGGCGGGACACGUGGUAUCCUGUCUGAAUAUGGGGGGACCAUCCUCCAAGGCUAAAUACUCCUGACUGACCGAUAGUGAACCAGUACCGUGAGGGAAAGGCGAAAAGAACCCCGGCGAGGGGAGUGAAAAAGAACCUGAAACCGUGUACGUACAAGCAGUGGGAGCACAGAGCAAUCUGUGUGACUGCGUACCUUUUGUAUAAUGGGUCAGCGACUUAUAUUCUGUAGCAAGGUUAACCGAAUAGGGGAGCCGAAGGGAAACCGAGUCUUAACUGGGCGUUAAGUUGCAGGGUAUAGACCCGAAACCCGGUGAUCUAGCCAUGGGCAGGUUGAAGGUUGGGUAACACUAACUGGAGGACCGAACCGACUAAUGUUGAAAAAUUAGCGGAUGACUUGUGGCUGGGGGUGAAAGGCCAAUCAAACCGGGAGAUAGCUGGUUCUCCCCGAAAGCUAUUUAGGUAGCGCCUCGUGAAUUCAUCUCCGGGGGUAGAGCACUGUUUCGGCAAGGGGGUCAUCCCGACUUACCAACCCGAUGCAAACUGCGAAUACCGGAGAAUGUUAUCACGGGAGACACACGGCGGGUGCUAACGUCCGUCGUGAAGAGGGAAACAACCCAGACCGCCAGCUAAGGUCCCAAAGUCAUGGUUAAGUGGGAAACGAUGUGGGAAGGCCCAGACAGCCAGGAUGUUGGCUUAGAAGCAGCCAUCAUUUAAAGAAAGCGUAAUAGCUCACUGGUCGAGUCGGCCUGCGCGGAAGAUGUAACGGGGCUAAACCAUGCACCGAAGCUGCGGCAGCGACGCUUAUGCGUUGUUGGGUAGGGGAGCGUUCUGUAAGCCUGCGAAGGUGUGCUGUGAGGCAUGCUGGAGGUAUCAGAAGUGCGAAUGCUGACAUAAGUAACGAUAAAGCGGGUGAAAAGCCCGCUCGCCGGAAGACCAAGGGUUCCUGUCCAACGUUAAUCGGGGCAGGGUGAGUCGACCCCUAAGGCGAGGCCGAAAGGCGUAGUCGAUGGGAAACAGGUUAAUAUUCCUGUACUUGGUGUUACUGCGAAGGGGGGACGGAGAAGGCUAUGUUGGCCGGGCGACGGUUGUCCCGGUUUAAGCGUGUAGGCUGGUUUUCCAGGCAAAUCCGGAAAAUCAAGGCUGAGGCGUGAUGACGAGGCACUACGGUGCUGAAGCAACAAAUGCCCUGCUUCCAGGAAAAGCCUCUAAGCAUCAGGUAACAUCAAAUCGUACCCCAAACCGACACAGGUGGUCAGGUAGAGAAUACCAAGGCGCUUGAGAGAACUCGGGUGAAGGAACUAGGCAAAAUGGUGCCGUAACUUCGGGAGAAGGCACGCUGAUAUGUAGGUGAAGUCCCUCGCGGAUGGAGCUGAAAUCAGUCGAAGAUACCAGCUGGCUGCAACUGUUUAUUAAAAACACAGCACUGUGCAAACACGAAAGUGGACGUAUACGGUGUGACGCCUGCCCGGUGCCGGAAGGUUAAUUGAUGGGGUUAGCGCAAGCGAAGCUCUUGAUCGAAGCCCCGGUAAACGGCGGCCGUAACUAUAACGGUCCUAAGGUAGCGAAAUUCCUUGUCGGGUAAGUUCCGACCUGCACGAAUGGCGUAAUGAUGGCCAGGCUGUCUCCACCCGAGACUCAGUGAAAUUGAACUCGCUGUGAAGAUGCAGUGUACCCGCGGCAAGACGGAAAGACCCCGUGAACCUUUACUAUAGCUUGACACUGAACAUUGAGCCUUGAUGUGUAGGAUAGGUGGGAGGCUUUGAAGUGUGGACGCCAGUCUGCAUGGAGCCGACCUUGAAAUACCACCCUUUAAUGUUUGAUGUUCUAACGUUGACCCGUGAUCCGGGUUGCGGACAGUGUCUGGUGGGUAGUUUGACUGGGGCGGUCUCCUCCUAAAGAGUAACGGAGGAGCACGAAGGUUGGCUAAUCCUGGUCGGACAUCAGGAGGUUAGUGCAAUGGCAUAAGCCAGCUUGACUGCGAGCGUGACGGCGCGAGCAGGUGCGAAAGCAGGUCAUAGUGAUCCGGUGGUUCUGAAUGGAAGGGCCAUCGCUCAACGGAUAAAAGGUACUCCGGGGAUAACAGGCUGAUACCGCCCAAGAGUUCAUAUCGACGGCGGUGUUUGGCACCUCGAUGUCGGCUCAUCACAUCCUGGGGCUGAAGUAGGUCCCAAGGGUAUGGCUGUUCGCCAUUUAAAGUGGUACGCGAGCUGGGUUUAGAACGUCGUGAGACAGUUCGGUCCCUAUCUGCCGUGAGCGCUGGAGAACUGAGGGGGGCUGCUCCUAGUACGAGAGGACCGGAGUGGACGCAUCACUGGUGUUCGGGUUGUCAUGCCAAUGGCACUGCCCGGUAGCUAAAUGCGGAAGAGAUAAGUGCUGAAAGCAUCUAAGCACGAAACUUGCCCCGAGAUGAGUUCUCCCUGACUCCUUGAGAGUCCUGAAGGAACGUUGAAGACGACGACGUUGAUAGGCCGGGUGUGUAAGCGCAGCGAUGCGUUGAGCUAACCGGUACUAAUGAACCGUGAGGCUUAACCUU